rnacentral:lncRNA from 1 species
AGACAUUAAUCUUAAGUAUCCAGGGAGCCCUAAAACAUUGUAUCCCACUAGCAAGGACCAUGGUAAUUGCCACGUAAAUCCCCUCCAUUAUGUGGCCCUUAUUAUGACCAGCCAGCCAAGGCUUGCCUUUAAAUCAUACCAAUUGAACCGAGCCUUGUAGAAACACUAUCACCUACGCAUACCUCUGCUUCUUUUCAUUAACCUGCUAUCCUCUUUACAAAUGGGAUUCUUCACCCACUCCCUUCUUCUAGAUUAGCAAUGCCCUGUUAAGUAAACGAACACGAAAUUCAAAGGGAAACAGGAGCAAUCAUCAUUACCAGCUGCCGUGUUAAGCAUUGCGAAAACGCUCACGAUUCACAGAAAAAUCCAUGCUGUUCUUUGAAGGCAUUCAAGCCUUAAUAGCUAGCUGGAUGAAUGUUUAACUUCUAGGCCAGGCACUACUCUGUCCCAACAAUAAGCCCUGUACAUUGGGAAAGGUGCCGAGACAUGAACUUUGGUCUUCUCUGCAAUCCAUCUGGAGCAUUCACUGACAACAUCGACUUUGAAGUUGCACUGACCUGGCCAGCCCUGCCACUUACCAGGUUGGGCUGUGGCUUGCCUUUUCACUUCUUGUGUCCUGUUUAAGAAAUAUCUGCUAUCCCAAGCAUCUGGCAUCUUUCUUGACAUAUGUAGCAGUUGCUUUUUGACAGCUUGCUUCUUCAGUGAAUGAAUAAAUUAAUAAAGAGAAAUGUGAUGUUCAGUGAUCCAUUUUGCAGAUUGCAAACUCCUAGAGAAGGGCUCAACAGUGAGUGCUGAGGCUGCACAGAGGAGGAAGGCAGCACAAUGAUGGAAGGCUUCCUAAAGAGAUAACACUAACAAAGUUGACCUUAGAAUUGGAGUGCCUGGGUUAGAACCCUGCUGGUACCACCUGCUUACUGCAUGCUUCUGAUGUGAGUUCAGGAGAAGACACUGGCAAGGACAGCAAAGAACAGGAGAACACUCUAGCUUCCCUGAUAGCAUUCAAGGUGCUGUCCAAACUGACUGUGAUGGCACCCUCCAGACAGACAGCGAUGCCACAUGUUCAAGAUGGCAGAAUCACUAUCAGCUUCAAUUCCUGAAUGACUGCAGAGCAAAAUUUCUUACCUGCAACAUACACUCUAUUUUCAGCCUCCCUGGACUGUUACAUAAUGAUACAUAAAAAUAUUUCUUGUGUUGAGGCAUCCCAAAUUUGAUUUAUUUGUCAUCACAGUCUAUCCUAUGAAUAUAUUUCUGAUCCAAAUAAUGCUAGAUUCAUGAGAGUUUAUAGUCCAGAGAUUUUUUUUUUUUUUUUGAGACAGAAUCUGUCUCCCAGGCUGGGGUGCAGUGGCAUAAUCUUAGCUCACUGCAACCUCUGCCUCCCGGGCUCAAGUGAUCCUCCCUCCUUAGCCUCCAUGAGUAGCUGGGACCACAGGUGUGCACCACCACACCCCGCUAAUUAUUUUGUAUUUUUUGCAGAGGGGGGUUUCACCACAUUGCCCAAGCUGGUCUCAAACUCCUAGACUUAAGGGAUCUGCCUGCCUUGGCCUCCCAAAAUGCUGAAAUUACACUUGUUAGCCAUAGUAAUAGUUCCUAGCCAUAGUCCGGAGAUAUUUUAAAAACUUUAGUGUGAGUUAUUUCUCUUUGCUAUAAUUCUCUCAUGCAUUUUGAAAACCUUUUCUGCCAUACAGUGGUUUUUGGGAAGUCCUUUUGGACAGACAUAUCACAGGAUGGAGAAACUAAAAAGAGAGAAUGCAUUAAAGAAAAAAUAGUACUUCGUAUUUCAGAAAUUACAAAAGGGUGUCAUGCCCCACAGCAUGGUGGGCAGUCAUUUGUAACCCACAGAACAUUGAGUUUCUAAAAUUUGAGUGUUUUUAACUUACGAAGGCCAACUUUACUGAUGAAGUGAUUACCCCAAAUAUGUGAAAUCCAUAUUUCAAGUACAAUAGUAGGAAAUUGGAAAUGGGCUCUUGAGUUUCUGCUUUCAAGUGACCCUCAGAAAUUCCUCCAUUCACUGCAGAGGUUCUGUUUCUCCUUGCUUUGUUCUGACUUUACGGCAGAACUAAGCUAAUGAGUUAGUUACUAUGGGUUAUCACUUGGAUUUGAAGAACCAUCAUUUCUAGGCAUUGCUGCUCAGAGUGGGUCUGCCCUCAGGGGAAGCUGUCUAACCAGAGCCUAACCCACUAGGGUUUUAUCAGAACCUAACUGACCUGAGGAAAAGAAAUACUCAACUCCAGCAAGCUCCAGCCUUCCAAAUGGAGGAGGAGAAAACCCAACUCCAGCCCACUUCAGCUAUCUUGUCCCACAUAAAGGGGAAGUGGAAGAAACCUGAGAAGCAGGCAUGAAGUUCACAGUCCAGAGAUGACAUGAUUUUCUAUGCAAAAAAUUCAAAAUAAUCAACAACAAAAAAAUCCUGAAACUAAUAAAUGAUUAUAGCAAGAUUUCAGGAUAUGAGAUUUAUAUACAAAGGUCAAUUACUUUCAUAUAUACAAGCAAUGAACAAGAGGGAUUUGAAAUUAAAAACGAAACUAUUUACAUUAGUACCCCCAAAAUGAAAUCCUUAUGUAUAAACUUAACAAAAUAUGUACAAGAUACAUAUGAGAAAAA